UCAGAGGAGAACAACAUUGUGGAAUCGAUUGUCUCCUUCCUAUGCACCCUGGGGAUUGAACUCGGGUUGCAUAGCUUUGGAGGCAAGCUCCUUUUACCCGAUGAAGCCAUUUCGCCACCCCCCUCCUUUUCAGUCUUGCCUAGUGAUUUGACCAAAACCUUACAAUGUCUUAGUAGUACAUGGGACUGACAAUGGCCUCCUGACUGAGCACCUACCAGCACACCAGACUCUGGCUGCUUUCCACUUAAAGUCACUUAGAUCUUCAUAAGACCUCUGUGAGCGGAGUGUCACUGCUUAUGACUGAAAGACAGAGAGGUUAAGCGCCGGACCCAGUGUCACCCAGCUUGGACUGAUUCUAGCCCCUCUCUCCAGUGCGUAGUUCUGUGGAUGAACUUGUGGGCAUCGAUUAUUCCCUUCUGAAGGAUCCUGUGGUCUCCAACGGCAAUCUGGAUAUGGAAUUCCGGGUGAGCCCUGCCCACCCCUUGCCAUCAGCCUAGUGGUCCCAGUGCCACAGAGAAGAGCCCAGCUGGAAGCUAUACCCGAUUUAAUUCCAUAAUCAGUCAACCAUCAAUUACAAUCCAUCCAACCCUC
rnacentral:lncRNA from 1 species